AUCCUUUGGAGCCAAAGACUCGAACAGACAUGCGAGACCUCUACCAACUGAAGGUUUCGUGAGCGCACUCCUUUGCCAAGAUCUUGGUGAAUAGUCUUUCACUGUGCAAUUUUAUCUUAGAAAUUGUUUUACGUUUGAUCAUGAUUGUGCUUGGCUGGAUGUUUUUUGUUGGACUUGUGUGUUACAUGGGCACGUUUCCAGAGUUGAUGGAACCAUGUGGAAGGGAUAUAAAUAUCCCCCAGGAGGGACUCCAGUGGAAGUAAGCAAGGAUGAUCCUGGUGAAGUAAUGCAGCUGUGAAGCUCACCUGACCAGCUGUACAGUUCCUGUUGUUGGUUUCACAUAAAGUAAUUGCACAUUAUUUUGUCAUAUUUUAUGUUAAGAAGUUACCGCACUUUUUUUUUUUUUUUUUUUUUUUUUUUGAGACAGAGUCUCGCUGUGUCGCCCAGGCUGGAGUGCAGUGGCGCGAUCUCGGCUCACUGCAAGCUCCGCCUCCCGGGUUCAUGCCAUUCCCCUGCCUCAGCCUCCAGAGUAGCUGGGACUACAGGCGCCUGCCACCACGCCUGGCUAUUUUUUUGUGUUUUUAGUAGAGACGGGGUUUCACCGUGUUAUCCAGGAUGGUCUCGAUCUCCUGACCUCAUGAUCUGCCCGCCUCGGCCUCCCAAAGUGCUGGGAUUACAGGCGUGAGCCAAUGUGCCCGGCAUUACCGCAUUUUUUAAGAUGAAUGAAGACUUAGUAUUCUGUUAGCUUGUAACAGAGAGACAGAGGGUGGGGAAGUAGUUGAGUGGAUGGGAGACAAUUGGGUCCUUCUGCUACAUGGUCUCUAAGACUGGCAUUAAGAUACCUAGUUUUGCCUGGCGCGAUGGCUCACACGUGUGAUCUCAGCACUUUGGGAGGCCAACACAGGUGGAUCAUCUAGGGUCAGGAGUUCAAGACCAGCCUUGCCAACAUGGUGAAACCCCGUCUCUACUAAAAAUACAAAAAAUUAGCUAGGGCGUGGUGUGGUGGCACGUCUGUAGUCCCAGCUACUCGGGAGGCAGUGGUUGCAGUGAGCUGAGAUCGGCCACUGCACUCCAGCCUGGGUGACAGAGUGAGACUCAGUCUCAAAAGAAAAAAAAAAAAGAACCCUAAGCUUAUACCAUGUGGGGUAAGAAACUCAUUUUUAAUAUUAGGGUUAAAUACUGAAGUAUAAUUAUCCUAAUCCUUAAAAUAACCUUCUGAAGCUAUUAGCCUCAUCUUACAAAAUGGCAAAAAUGAAGUUGAGGGGCAUGUUUAUCUUGCCAACACACACAGCCCUGGGCUGCAGAGUCAAGAUUAAGAUCCAGGCCUUCUCCCUUCACACUUUCAUGUGCCAAGGAAAAGAGCCAAACAAGAGACUGUGGGAUAUCCAAGAUCUUGCUGUUUAAAUGUCUCCCUCACCUGAAAACCCAAGAAGUUAGGCCAGGCGUGGUGGCUCACACCUGUAAUCCCAGCACUUUGGGAGGCCGAGGCAGGCGGAUCACUUGAGGUCAGGAGUUCGAGACCCGCUUGGCCAACAUGGUGAAACCCCGUAUCUACUAAAAAUACAAAAAUUAGCCAGGUGUGGUGGUGGGCACCAGUAAUCCUAGCUACUUGGGAGGCUGAGGCAGAAUUGCUUGAACCCGGGAGGUGGGGGUUACAGUGAGCCGAGAUUGCACCACUGCACUCCAGCCUGGGUGACAAAGCAAGACCUUGUCUCAAAAAGAAAAAAAAAAAGAGAAAAGAAAACCCAGGAAGUUGCCUGAUAAUUCUUUUUCAUGACUACUGAAAAGAUGGGAGCCUGAGAGAGACCUAACAGGAGUAAAUACUUUAAAAACAAAUUGUAUGGAACUGUACCCAUUCUGAGGAUGACUGAUACAGUUCCAGUAUUCAAAAGAAGUAUACCUUUUCCAGCAAAGCAGAUCUUUUGUUUACAUAGAAAACAUUUUGUUAUUUGGGAAGUUUGCUUAACUAUUUGUAAGUGGCUCUUUGCAAUUAAUGGAUUACCUUUUUUUAAUGGAAAGAAAAUAAAUUCAAAAUCCAUAAGCAAAACUUUAGUAAUUUCUGACUCUAGGAUACUAGCAUCUUCUAUUUCUUAUGUGAUUUAGACUCAACAUUUUCCAGUGAGUUAAGUACUUACAUCCUCUGGCUGUAUAGCUCUGCCCAUUUGCCUCGUAAUACAUUUUUUUUUGAGACAGUCUCGUUCUGUCACCCAGGAUAGAGUGCAGUGGUGCAAUCUCGGCUCACUGCAACCUCCACCUCCCAGGUUUAAGUGAUUCUUAUACCUCAGCCCCCUGAGUAGCAGGGAUUACAACGCACGCCACAUUUUUGUAUUUUUAGUAGAGACGGAGUUUUGCCAUGUUGGCCAGGCUGGUCUCGAACUCCCAGCCUCAAGUGAUCCACCUGCUUCUACCUCCCAAAGUGCUGGGAUUACAGGUGUGAGCCACUGUGCCCAGCCUGCCUCAUAUACAUUUCUAAGGACUCCUCUUCUCAGCCAUCUCAAGCUGCUUUUAUCAUAAGAGAUAGGACCCUGCUCAUUUUGACAAGAGGAACCAUAUACCCAGCUGUGUCCUCCCUCCAUUUGAGUAAACUUCCAAAACUUGAGCCACUAAAAGAUUCCAUUGCUCUGACCACCUAACAGUUCUCCCAACAUGGGUCAGAGAGCAGAACAGUUCUCUAAGCUGGUAGGGGGAGAGAAGCUCUAUCAUGUUAGAGCAGACAUGAAUGUGUAAGGGAGAAUAAGCAGAGGAGUGUGUGCAAUAGGCAAACCAUAUCUCUGAAGUGUGAUGAGUAUACCGAGGUUUCUAGCUGGAAAAAUGUUCAGGGUGAUGAGAUAAAGAAUAUCUCAAAGUUUUAAUCAAUAAAUGCAAACCAGCAAAAAUAUCAAUAAAAUAUUUUUAAUGCCUACAAUUUCUUGUAUACAUAAAUUGCAAAACUUUCACCUGUAUAUGCAAAAGUAUAUUCUCUUGCAGGUCAACAGCACCAGAAAACAAGCUAAGCUAUCUAAAAAUUUUUUUAACUUGAUUUGUCCAUUGUGUAAAAGACAGGAUGGAUUUAAUUACUCCAAAGAAAUCUCUAUCUCACUCUUAAUCAUACACUAAACGUCUGAAUAUUUAAUCACAUCCACUCAGAAAAUAAAUAGUAGUCUAAUAUAUUCAAUACAUUGAAAAUAAAACAACCAGUCUCUCUUCAUAUAUUUAUUCUCUUUCCAAACAUGUUUUGGUCUCCUGCUAUAUCUCAGAAAUUUACCAAUAGCUGCUUUUAAGUUACAAAAUACAAAACAACAAUUUAUUUCUUGGAGAAAAUCUUGGGGAUUACAUUAAAAAUGAAAAUUUGAGUUCCCACAUUCUUUUUUUUUUGACAUGGAGUCUCGCUCUGUCACCCAGCCUGGAGUGCAGUGGUGCUAUCUUGGCUGACUGCAACCUCCGCCUCCCAGGUUCUAGCGAUUCUCCUGCCUCAGCCUCCCCGGUAGCUGGGAUUACAGGUGUGUGCCACCGCACCCGGCUAAUUUUUUUAUUUUUAGUAGAGACGGGGUCUCACACCAUGUUGGCCAGGCUGGUCUCGAACUCCUGGUCUCAAGUGAUCCGCCCGCCUCGGCCUCCCAAAGUGCUGGGAUUACAGGCUUGAGCCACCAUGCCCGGCCAGACUUACUUUUUUGUUAACGGUCUUUGAACCUUUUCACGGCACACAUGUAAGGCCGCCUGUGACAUGUGGUACCCUGGCCUCCAACUGGACACAACUGCAUUUAUAGUUUAGCGAAAAUACAAAGUUCUGAAAGUAGCCUUAAAAGAAGUGCCCUUUGCUUUGACAUAGCAAUAUCAAAAGCAAGUGGGACUGUGCAAUCAGAGCCAUGAGUUUUAUGAAAACUACUUUCCUUUCACAUCAUUUGUUAGAGAAUGCCACACCCAUGAUCAUGUAACAUUAUUACAAUCAUGAAAUAUUACUACAUUCGUGAUUAACAUUACCCAAAAGGCACAUCUUCAAAUGUUGAAUUAAGAAAAUCCAAAAAUCAAAACAGUAGAGAAUACAUUAAAAAUCAAGCAUUUAAUUUGUAAACCUUAAUGAAAUAACAGCCUACUCCAGUUUCUUCAAAGGUUUGUGAGCUUUUUAUAAGAGUGGUCAGGAAGUGCAGAAAAACAACAUGGAAGACAGGAUUUGGAAACAAGGCCAAAAUUUAAAAGACUUAACCUUUUUUUUCUUUUAAAUGAGCCACAGAAGUGCUCUUUUAUAAUGUUGACGCAAAUCAACAUUUAUAUUAUAGAAAUGCACUCAGAAGUAACAGACACACAAGGUUAAAACCUGAUUCUUCCCACUAAGUUCUGGAAAUUUAUUCUAACAUAAUGGUGCCUUUCUGUACAAAGAACUGUACCAUAUCAUAAAUUUACUGCUAGUAAACUUUAAGCCACCAGAAAUCUUUCAGCUGUGACAAGCACUUGAUUGUAAUGACAGAUUUCAGAGUCUGAAUACUGAAAAAUAUAUAUAUCCAAUAAAAAAUUUUUGAAGGGGGAAUAAAAGCACAUAAAUGGCAGCAGAGGAAUUGAUGUUCUAAGCCUGUUUUAUUACAUGGGACAUCACACUACCCUUAAUUUCACUGAAGGUAUCUGAAAUGGGUGAGAUGAAAUCAAUAGGAUUUUCUGCUACCAUUGUAACAGUUCUAUAUGUAGUUACAAAGGGUGUUAUUCCUAGUGAUGAUGACACCUUUCAUGGGAUUCAACUUAAAAAUUAAAUCCUUGCACUUUCAAAGUUUGAAACUCAAUUCAAAAUGAGUCCGUCUUAAAAGCCUGGCUCAUAUGGUCCCAUUAAGGGAGGCUAACAAUGGUAAUCUAUAAUACCCAAACUUGAAGAAUAAAGACUUUAUGGAUAAAAAGGAAUAAACCAAAAUAUUUGGGCUGUUGAAGUAUAAGGGCCUGUUGUAGGACAAUCCCUCCUACUUCCUAAUCCCCCCCAUACAAUGGCUUAAGAUAGCCAAAACGUUUAUUGUAGAACGUUUAUUAUUCCUACAAGCUUAUGUCUCACUUCCCCUAAGCCUCUGUACUUACAGUCAAGGACAAAUGCUCUCUAGCAUCAUAUCUCAUUUUCUGUUGCUGACAGUUCUUGAGACUUGGCUUCCUUCCAGCAUGAUCCUAAGUCAGCCUGAUUGGAACUGCUUGGACUUGAAGGUUAAGGGCUAUUAAGUCCAUAUUUAUGACUUUAAAAAGGGUAAAAAUGAGUUUCCACAGCUCAGUAAAAUAACGAUAACAGGGAACAUCCCUUCCUACCUGGGGAAAAAAAUCUCUUCACAGUGCAUAGUUUGAAAUCAAAGUGCAAUAUGGGCAAAAAGAGAAGGUGGUGCUCUCGAUACCAUAAAUUUAGUUUUUGGUUUUCUGCCAUUAAUAUUUGCUAACAAAUUCAAGCUAAAAAAUGAAGUCAUUAAUGUCAAGAGGUAUGAGGGCACCUUGGGAUUUCAAAAUAUCUUUAUGAUGGGGGAGGGGAGGAGGGGAGAGCCUCACAUGUUACUUCCUUAUUUUAUAAACUAUUACUCUUUCAAAUCUAAUGUUUGAAUAAAAUAUUUUUUCUUCGAUAUAAAAAUGAAUUUUUUUAGAUAAAAAUCAAUCAGCACAGUGACCUUGUCUUACACUAAAGCCAACAUAACAGUAAAUCUGAAAGGAAAACUUAGAAAAGAAUAUUAUACUGUUAUAACCUGUAUUUUAACUUGAAAAUUUUUUCAUUAAUUCCUAGCCACCUAAAUUAAUGAGUAAGAAUGCUCAGCAUCCAAUCCAUGAAUACAGAAUUUAUUCUACUUUGUACUUCAAAGUCACAGGAUGACAUCCAUAUGAUAGUUAUAAAUUCUACUCUACAUUUUCAAGUUCUCAAUCCAUAGAUUAGGACAAGUCACUUUAUUGCUGGCAACAUUCAUGGAAGGUCCAGGUUUCUCAUAAAAAGACUAAGUUUGAUUGGGAGCAGGGCAGUGCCCUACUCACAGAUCAGCAGAAGAAUUACAGAAAUCAAGAGACAACCUUUUUUUUCCUUUCAAAGUAGCAAAGGAACAAUAAAAGAUUGGCUGACUGGUGAGUGGCCCCACAUUAGAGUGCAUAGCUCAUCAGGAUCAAGGCUGGCAUCUGUGAACAGUUAACUUCAUAAGAGCACAAGUGGGCAUUAUAUCAUCUGCAUUACAGAUUUCACCCUGGAAAAUAUCUGAAAAUAUUUUAUGCUCAAAUGACAGCCUGCAAAUGACAGUAUGCAUUCCUUCUCCUUGAGUACCCAAGUAUAAAUCUAAAAUGAUAAGGGGGCUUCUUCAGUCUGAAGGCAGGAAAUCCUUGCAGCAGAGCAGCUCUAGAAUUUCACAAAAAUAAAAGCAGCAGCUAACGCCUCUUCAGCUUCUUGGCCCUUCGACGUUGCAUUUCUUCUUCUUCACGUCUCAUUUCCUCUAAGUCCUCUUGCAUACCCAGUCUUAAGCUGCCAAAGAAUUUUUAAAGGGUAUUUGUCAAUAUACAUGAGAUGACCACUUUCCUUAAAAAGAAUGAAAAUUCCAACUGGGAGCUCACAUGGAUUGUGCUGAUGCUCUCAAAAUGCCUCAAGGCUUUACCACUGAAAACAAACUAGCAGGGAUAUUUUUUUACCAGGGGCCACAGACUCAAAUUGUCGUGGGAAAAAGAACUCACACACCACAAAAACCUUACUAUUUCCAUUAAAAUAAUAAAAUAUAGGUUUAUCUCAAUAGCUUUUAAAAAUAAACAGCAAGAAGCAUUUAUUCAUUAACUAACAUUCUAUUCUUGUUCUCUUCCAACACUUUAGUUUGAAAUUUUAUGGGCAAGAGGGAGAAAAAGAUAUAGUAUUCUGGCUUGAGACUGAAGUGAAUUAUUUACCUAUAAUAACAUUAUGGCCGGGCACAGUGGCUCACACCUGUAAUCCCAGCACUUUAGGAAGCCGAGCCAGGCGGAUCACCUGAGGUCAGGAGUUUGAGACCAGCCUGGCCAACAUAUGGUGAAACCCCAUCUCUACUAAAAAUUACAAAAAUUAGCUGGGCGUGGUAGCGCACACCUGUAGUCCCAGCUACUUGGGAAGCUGAGGCAGAAGAAUCGCUUGAACCCGGGGAGGUGGGGGUUGCAGUGAGCCGUGACCAUGCCACCGCACUCCAGCCUUGGCGACA
rnacentral:lncRNA from 1 species